rnacentral:tRNA from 2 species
GCGCCUGUAGCUCAGUUGGAUAGAGCCGCGGACUUCGAAUCCGAAGGUCGGGGGUUCGAAUCCCUCCAGGCGCGCCA